GCUCCAAUUCCUGAUGUGGUUCUCCAAGCUUGUUUAAUCCAUGAGAUGGAGGGGAAAAAGAGACCGAACAGGAAGGGUCAUGGCCUUAUCUAGGCUCUGGACAGGGAGGGCUUUCUUGCUCUCCACCAACCCCAGGGGAGCAGGAAGGAAGGGACCCUGUUUAUCUGAUUCCAGUCACAGGGGUCCCUGAAAAGGGGAAUAGCAUAGCCCAAGCGCACUGUAACAGCUGUCAAACAUUAUCCAUUUUUUAUUACCUUGAUCCACAUCACGGCCCUACUUGGGUCCAUCCCUGGCCCUUGCUGAGACACGCUGAGGCUGUGCCCAACCCAGCAGCCAGCCCUGCCCCACUGGCCAUGGCAAAAGCAGACAGCUGGGCAAGGCAUCCGAGGUUCAGCUCAGUAUUGUCCCUGCCCACAGUUACACACUCCUUCCUUUUUGACAGCAGAUGAUCACACCCACACAGUUGCACAUCAACCAAUUCAAUGUUGCAGUAAUUAGGAGCUGGGGUCACUGUGAACUGAUGGUUGUCAGCAAGCGCAGGAUGUUCGCAUUUGUGAACUGAGACUGGGUCGUGAACACUAAGCCCUGUCCUUGACUCCUCAUCAAUAUUUCCAAGCCCUCCUCUUGCAGUGAAUAACAUGGCUAUUGUCAUAAAUACUCAUUGUAAUAUUGGCUUUUCACAAGUAUUAAAAUGGAUGCUGUAUGUAUAAUGUUAAAGUAAGUUUGCUAUAAAGAUACAGGUUUUAUUUCUGCCAUUAACUAAACUUAGACGUAGUAGUGAAAUAGCUGAUAUAGUUUUGCUUGUGGUAAUUGAACUGCCUGUUUGGUUGGGAUAAUAUCCAAUGAAUGUAUGAUGAAGACCUCUGCUACUGAUAUGCCAACUAUCAGCACCCACCAUCUGUAGAAAGUAUGGACCAAAGCCCAAGCUGGAGGUGAUAACAAGAAUGGACUAAAACCACAGCCAAGGAAUACUCAUAUUCUAAAAGGGCAGACCAAGGAGGAGCCAUGCUAAACAGUUCUUGGAACGUGUAAACUAGUUUGGGGAAAAGUCUAAAUAUGCAUAAUCGUAAAUGAAUGUGCAGUAGGCUGACGCAAUAGAAAAGGAGUUGUAUGAUUAUUAAUGCAAUAAGGAUAUUAGGAUGUAUUGCCACGGGAGUUUCCACAGCUAAAUCCACAUCGCAAAGCUGAUUGCUAUUGGGACUGAAGACAUUGUGAGCAAAGCACUGACUACAGGAGUGUACAGGUGACCACAGAGCUGGCCACCCUCACCAUGGAUAGGGUCUGUGCAGUGUGCUAUGCCAUCAUCAGUCCAAUGACCAAGCCCUGUUCUUCAGUUAUAUUCAGGACAAGCAGCCAUCUACUACUCGUGACUCAGCCCAGGACCUGCAUUCUCUGCUGGUGCUGCCCCAAACACUGCUUCCAAAUGAAGAGCCCUUUUCUGUUAAAGCAAGUAAGUCUGAAAAGGCUCCAUAAUGUAGCAGAAGGUAGCAGAGCAGGUCUGUCUGAUCCCACACAAUGGACCUUGACUCCAGCUGUUACAAAAUGAGGAGCUAGAAGUGAGGUGAGCCACAUCCGGGUCCGGGUGCAUGGGCUUGCUCAUCAAGCCCUUAUCAGGGGGAACCGGGGAUCUCAGUUGGGUGGCUGCAGAUAAACAGCUCCUAUCAAACAGGAGCAGGAGUGUCAGUUACAUGACUGAAGACUCAGGUUGGGUGCUAGGAGGUAAUUCCACAAAGCUAGCACACUGUCUGUCUGAAGAAUAUAUAUAUAACGGUAUGCUUUGGAUCUGCUUCUCUCUCCCUAAUACCUGUUCAUUGUUUGCUAGCUGGUCCUGCAGGUUGGAAUUACUUCUUCUUUAAGGACAUUAGUUUUGAGUCAAAGCAGUUAAUUAUGUAGUUCAUAUUCUUGAUUUAAGUUGGGCCUUGAAGCCAAGAUCUAUAGGCUGGCUUUCAAAGUCAUUGCUCCUAGGUAUGCUUUUGAAUGCUUUUCUGAUUCUUUAGGUCAUCUUGACCUUCUGGCAUAAUCCAGCAAUUUUGGAUGUAUACCAAGCAGCAACUCUUAACCCAUAAAACCAGCAAUGAUUUUUAAGGAGCCCGGCAGCAAAAUGGGUACUCUUGUGCAUUCAUAUUCCUGUAUUUGAUUCUGUCAAGUAAGACCCUGAUUUUGACUAUCGUGGUUUGUGUGUCUCACUGGGAAUUUGGACAUUAAACCUGCAAGCUUGCUACCCAUGACUUUAGAGAUCCCAAGCAUGUAAGGUACUAUUUAAAAGGAAUUUUCUCAAACCAUGUUUAUUUUUUCACUCUCUGAAUGUACUCAUGGCUCUCAGUCCAAGAUCAUCUGCUGGGGAAAGACAGGAAUUGGUAGGAUUUGGUGGGACCACUCUGUGUCAGAGGUGGCUCUGCUAUUGCGCUCGUGUUUUCUGUAGUGCUGAAGACAGCAAUGGUCCCUGUUGUGAUCUCAUGAGUGAAUAGCUACUCUUUUGCCAGACUAUAACCAGCUCAUUAAAGGACAACUAAGCUAAUUCAUACUUACCUGCUAUCUUAAAGCACAGUGUAAACCCUUCUGCCUGGAUAAAUGAAAAGCAAGCUGGGGAGGCAAGGUCACACAGAGAAGCUGUGAUUUAUUUGCAUCUCAUGGGAACAAACUGACAAAAUCCCAUUGUUUUCCUGGAUACAUAUUAUCACUGAAUGUAUUUAGGGAGGCACUUCUAUCAAAAUAAUACCAAUCAGUAGCUGGAUAUUUUUCUCCUGCAAACAGCAUUUGGUCAUAUCAGGUGUAAAGGAGAAACAGCCCAAGAAUUUAAACAUUGAUUAAGUAGCCAAUUAUUCUAUGCUAAACUGUGUUUUCUACUCUAUCCAUGUACUGAUAGCUUUUGCUUUUUAACCCAGUUAAAUCAAAUGUCAUGCACUGCCAGAAUGCCUGGCACAUAUGCUAAAAUCACAGAAUCAAAGUGGGUUGGAAUGGACUUUUAAAGAUUGACUAGCCCAACCAAAAUGUAUAUAGAGAGUAUUCUCACAGUCUUUUACUCCCACAUUUAACUAAUAAACAAAAUUACUGGCAGUAUACAGUCAUGUUCUCUAUGCCAAAUGAAGGAUCUUUCCCAAAAAAAUGCAUUACAUAUUCUCACAGUGACACAAACACUGAAUUAAAAGCAGAUUAAUAGAACUUUCUUUCUCAGGGUUGAACUUUCUAAACAUGGAAAAGCUGUGACAUGUUUCACGCAUUUAUACAGGUUCAUGUCUUAGGAGAAGUAGUCCAGCAAGUCCAGUUCUUUAUAUACAACUUUAAGGGGAGGAAAGGUGCCAUUCAUUUCUACUAGAUGUUUGUCUUUUUGAUAAUUCCCAAAGAUCUUCCUUUCCACUUGGAUUACACAAAUGGCAGGCUCAAGGACCUCCAUCCCCCACACACUUUGAUCUCUUUCUGAAAGGGACAAUAAUCCUCAGGAAGGCACAUGCCAGGCUCAUCCAGCCUAUUAUCCAUUGUGGCCCCAAGAGGAAAUCUGGGUUCUUGCUACUCUCUGGUAAGAAGACUCCGGUCAGAAAGGGCUUGCUGGAAAUAUCCUAAAAGUGCAGCUUUUUAUUGCAUCUUAGAGUGAUGCCACAGGGUUUUAGCUUUUGUAUUUUUCAAAUUCUGUGCUGCUUUAGUGUGUCCUUCUGAGCUUCAUUUUGGGGGACAGUAAGCUCUCUUCACAGAGUAGGUAGACAAAACUCCUUCUCUAGCUGGAGACCAAAGACAAAUGAUCCAAGUUUUAGGCCCAAGAGUAUAAAUAAUGGUGGACUUAAGAGAGAAAAACAAGAAGGAUGGGACUUCAUGGGCUAAAGCUAUACUUGGACAAUUAACUCCAAUAUGCUAAUGGACCAGAACUUAUAAAAGUGAGAGAGCUCAUGACCGGUUGUCCAUUUUGUGACCAUUUUGGGUUCACCUUGGGUGUAGCCCUGGCUGGGCUCUUGUGGAGCCCAAGGUGUAUCCAUUGAGGUCUCCUAAUAAAUACCUACUUUAUUCUUUAACUCCAUCUAGCCUCUGUUCUAGGUCAGCCUUCACAAGACAUCAAGAGUGGGAAUAUAGAAAAGGUUAUACCGAGGGCUGCAUUAACACAGUCUGAUGCACAAGAAAGCCACAGAUCCUGAGUGCUGUUUUUAGGCCAAGUGGGACUCAUGCUCAUGCACUGAGGAGCAAGGCUCUGCCUGCCAGGUACAGCUGCAGUAGCAGAGCCUCACAGACAAGCAGCAUCUCAAGGUACCUCUCCUCCAAGGACAGAUGCAUUCACAGUACAGGAAUGGAGCAGAUGGACACAGCACCAGCAUACUUC